CUUUUUUAUGCCCCACCUACGAUAGUAGAGGGGCAUUAUGUUUUCUGGUCUGUGCCUCCGUUCGUCCGUUCGUUCGUUCGUCCGUUCGUUCGUCCCGCUUCAGGUUAAAGUUUUUGGUCAAGGUAGUUUUUGAUGAAGCUGAAGUCCAAUCAACUUGACACUUAGUACACUGGUUGCUUAUGAUAUGAUCUUUCUAAUUUUAAAGCCAAAUUAGACUUUUGACCCCAAUUUAACGGUCCACUGAACAUAGAAA
rnacentral:lncRNA from 1 species